UUGUGCUUGAUCUAACCAUGUGGUGGAACGAUGGAAACGGAACAUGGUUCUGUCAAGCACCGCG
ensembl:miRNA dno-mir-218-2 dno-mir-218-2